rnacentral:rRNA from 1 species
GACGAACGCUGGCGGCGUGCUUAACACAUGCAAGUCGAACGGAAAGGCCCUGCUUUUGUGGGGUGCUCGAGUGGCGAACGGGUGAGUAACACGUGAGUAACCUGCCCUUGACUUUGGGAUAACUUCAGGAAACUGGGGCUAAUACCGGGUAGGAGCUCCUGCUGCAUGGUGGGGGUUGGAAAGUGUCGGCGGUUGGGGAUGGACUCGCGGCUUAUCAGCUUGUUGGUGGGGUAGUGGCUUACCAAGGCUUUGACGGGUAGCCGGCCUGAGAGGGUGACCGGCCACAUUGGGACUGAGAUACGGCCCAGACUCCUACGGGAGGCAGCAGUGGGGAAUAUUGCACAAUGGGCGGAAGCCUGAUGCAGCAACGCCGCGUGCGGGAUGACGGCCUUCGGGUUGUAAACCGCUUUCGCCUGUGACGAAGCGUGAGUGACGGUAAUGGGUAAAGAAGCACCGGCUAACUACGUG